UGGACCUUUACUUUGUAAUUGUCUGACACGGUGUCCCCCUUUUACCCUGAUGAGAACUUUGUAUACUUUGAUGUUCUGUAUCUGUGUGUAUCCCUUUGUUAGAUUUGUAGGUAUGUAGGCAGUAUCUCUGAUUGCUUGUUGGAUAUAUGUGUAUGUAUUACGUUCUUUGCUUGUUAAGUGUGUAUGGGUGAUAUCAAUAUGCAUUUUCUCUGCUUACUUUUUCUCUCUG
rnacentral:lncRNA from 1 species